rnacentral:rRNA from 1 species
UACGAAGGGGGCUAGCGUUGCUCGGAAUUACUGGGCGUAAGGCGCACGUAGGCGGUCUUUUAAGUCGGGGGUGAAAUCCUGGAGCUCAACUCCAGAACUGCCUUCGAUACUGGAAGACUUGAGUCCGGGAGAGGUGAGUGGAACUGCGAGUGUAGAGGUGAAAUUCGUAGAUAUUCGCAAGAACACCAGUGGCGAAGGCGGCUCACUGGCCCGGUACUGACGCUGAGGUGCGAAAGCGUGGGGAGCAAACAGG